AAAAGCAGACGAUCAGCUGGCUGUUGUCACGUGCAAUCGUGAAGUGUUAGGAAAAGACAGCAACAUAACCAGAAGCUUCAAAACAAUGAUGUGUCUGCAGUAGCGUGCAACUAAUAUACUGCCUCAGUUAAUUUCUUGUGGUAAAAAUCGAACACUUAUAUGUAAUUUGAACAUUCUCAGAGAAAAAUCAAGAUUCCUUAACAAGAUUAAACAAACCUGUCAUGCAGUGUAACCACUAUAAAAUGCAUCUCAAUGUCAAUAUCCAUGCUGAUAAAAAAUAUGAAGCUCAUCUUUUCAUUAUUCUGCUCAUGGUGAAAUGUUAAAACUGAAGUUCACAAUACUGCUAUUUCAUUGUUUAAUAUACAAAACAACUUUAUGUCAUUAAAACUGAAGGUAAACAUUAUGAACUUACAUUUGAUGCAGUUGGUACAAGAACAUGACAGAAUGUUUUAUUUCUGAACUGAUGACAAAAGAUAAUCUUGAUAUAGACAAUAAUAUUAUGGAUCCUUCACAGCAGAGUAUCUUUGUCAAAACCUCAACAGAUGAAAUGGUAUUAUCUUUUAACAUUCUUAAAGGCAUAGAUAGAAAUGACAAAAUUGAGCAAAAUAUGGUGUUACAACAUAACAUGACAGAAGAAAUUGAAAAUUUAUCCCAAAAAUUAAGUCAAACAUCAGUUGCUUUAGAUGAAGACGAUUUGUCUGGUAUAAAUGACAAACCAGUAGAGUCAUUAUCUGUUACAAAUGAAUGGUAUGAAUCCAGUCAAUCUGAAGUUAACUCACCAAGUCUGAAGACAAAUACAUGUUUUCAGAUUAGUCAAAAUGACGGAACAUCUUUUCCAAAACUAUCUUCACAUCCAACAUUCUCUGCUCCUCAUCCACUUUUGUUGCAUUCUGAACCCCAAAAGUCAGAAUGCCAAAUCCUUACAGUUAAUGGUGUUGAUACCAAACAUAGUGACAAUGACUUUAUUAAUGAGGAGGAAGCAAAAUGUGCUGUUAUUCAGAACACUUUAUUACACUGCACUUAUGAAAUAGUUAGGAAUGAAUUUAGUAAUUUGGUUGAAAGCCAUAAUGUUGAAGUAUUUAAAAACUUCCCAUGUGAUAAAGCAUCAGAUGACUUGGUACAAUUUGAUAAUGAUAAUUUUUCAGAAAAAAUUGAUAAGAACAAUUCUCAUGAAAAUUGUGCUGAAGAAUUUGCAGUCAACAUUACCAUUAAUGGUUCUGACAAUACAGAUGCCUAUGUUCAGGUAGAUGAUUUGCAGCUGCAGUUUUCUCAAUGUUCCGAACACAAUGAAGUAAAGAAAACUGAAGUUGACAGUACUGCUGCACCAUUAUAUAUACAGGAUUUUGUGCCAUUAGAAACUAAAAUGGUUGUUCAAGACUCAGCUGAUAUUCCUAAGGAAAACAUUUAUGACGGUGAAUCCACAUUUGUCAGAGUAGUUGAUGAAUGUCACAAGAAAAUUACAGAUUGUGUUAUUCCUGAAUCGUGUAGCUAUUCUGUGUUGAUUACAAAAAAUAAUGGUGACCAUGCAGAAAAUAUUAUGGUGCCUUUACAGCAGAGUACCCUCAUCAAAGCCUCAAUAGAUGAAACAGUGUCACUGUUUAAAAUUCAAGAUGUUGAUAAUCAUAAAUGGUCACGUAAAAUUGAAAAAGAUGAGAGAAAUAAGGUGUUAAAAAAUAAUGUAGAAAGUGAACAUUUAUCCCGGAAAUUAUGCCAAACCUUAUUUGCUCAAGAUAAAAAAAGUUUGUGUGAUAAAGAUGAAAAAAUUAUGAUGUCAUUACCUGUUUCAAAUGAAAGUCACAAACCUGAUCAAUCUGGAGUUAACCCACCAAGUCGCAAUACAAAUUCACAUUUUCAGUCCAGUCAAAAUGACAGAACUGGCCAAAGUAAAGCCUUGUUUUCAGAUCUAUCUCAGCCUGCACAUUCAGCAUUCUCUGUUGCUCAUCAGCACUUGUUAAAUUUUGAAUCCAAAAUGUCAGAAGUCCAAUGUAUGAUUGUAACUGGUGACGGUACUGAAUACAGAGACAAUGACACGAAUGAUAAUUGGACAAGGCAUGCUGUUAUUCAGGAUAUGUUUUUAAGUGAUGAACAGAAUAUUUAUAAUGUAACUAGUAAUGAGAUAUUUCAAAAAGAUUUAAAACAUGAAAACCUGUUCUAUGCUGUGGACAGUGAAAGCUCAGCUACAAAUGAUGUAACUACAAUGAAUAGUUUAGUUGGUUAUAAAACAUCAACAGAAUGUUCAGCAGUAGUCCAGACAAAUAAUAUACCUUUUGAUCACAAUCAAAAUAAUCGAUCCAAAUCACCAAAUGCACAAAAUAUAGACAUUUGCAGUUCAGGUGAUUUUCAGAUAGAAACAACAGUCUCGGAUACAUUAAAACAUAUUUUAAUUCAGUGUGACAAAAUAUUAAAUGGUUCUUUCAUGAACCAGGACAUGGAAAUUCAAAGCAAAAGUUCAGAAAACAUGUUUUCAUCGUUAGAAAAUCUCAGUGUUUUUUCAACAAAACAAAACAGAUUUUUAGUACCAAAAACGGAAUUAGCCCAUAAAUCACCAAAUGUUCUUUUUGUAGAACAUGAUGAUCUUAAGUCAACUAUUAUAAAAACAAAAGUGGAUGAAGAAUAUUCAAAUGAAUUGAAACAAAAUGAAGAAAUUGUUUUGCCCAGCAAGAACUCAAAUGACCCCAGUACCGCAACUAAUUUAGAGACACUAGUAGAUAAUUCACCUGACAUUAAUAUCUCCAUUUCUGGUGGAAAAGAACAAUUAGUCCUUGCACAAAAAUUAAGACCUGAAAUAGGCUGUCAAAAAUCCAACACUCUGUUGGUAAUGAAAGAUGCUGAAAGUGAAAUAGAAACAAGUGAAAUGGAAGAAAACCUUGUACCAUGUUUCAACUCUGUUUCUAAAGAUCAACUUGUACCAGAAGAGGAAGUCGGUAUAGAAAUGACAUCAGAUUGCACCUUUUAUGAAAAAGAUGGAUAUCAAUACAACUUGAAAGAUGUACCACUAAAGAACAGUAAGGAUUUCUCUACAACUCAGUGCUUUAAAUGGAGAUAUACGCCAUCACUUGGACUUAGCAGUGAUGUUCCAGAGGAACUGCCCAAGUUCGAAGGUUUUGCAGACAAUCUUAGAAAACUUCCUAUAUUAAGAACCUGCUCAAGACCCAUUCGUAUUGGAUUGUCACGAAAACAAAGGGCAGGAAGAUUGCAUUCUAUUCCUGGGAACAAAUAAUGGACCUAUAUUAGUACAACAAACUUAAAGUUGGACAAUUAUUGUUUAUUAACAUUUCAGGGAUUUAUCCAGGCAUUGUAGGCUAUGAUACCAAACAUCAGCCUCUUCCCAAAAGUAAAUGUCAUUGAAAGCUCUCAAUUUCUUGGCUGUAAAUUCCCAAUUUGGUUAAUAAAUAAUUUGGUAAUUAUGCCUAUUCAGAAACAACAAUUGGCAGCAGUUGUGAUAAUGCAACACGAUCUUAUAAAAUGUGAUCAAAACAUAUCUACACUUGCUGUUGUGGCAGGCCUUUGCACACAAUAUCUAAGAUUUGAUCAAAUUUUUCUUCUAUCCCGAGAAAUCGUAAUUUUCAAAGCAUAAACAACACUAGUUGUCAUCAAUAUAUCUACCAUAUAAGUACAUUGUUUGAGCCCGAUGGCCAGUGGGGACAAACAAUUAAAUCAACCCCCACUACUGGGUACAAGCACUACUGGGUACAAGCACUACUGACCACACCAAUUGUAUAAACAAAAAUAUCUACAAGUCAGAUCUUUCGAUUUUCUUCCACAAGCAACAGUUUGCUAAUGAAUAUUUGCCCACCAGUAAUUUAUGUCCCAUUCCUGUCAUAGACAUUUUCCUCUGAUCACUGGCACCCAAAGAGCUGUUACUGUAAGGCCCACAUUCCAUUAACGUGAUUUAUCAAUAUAGUGCAUUUAUAUAGUACCCUUUCCAUAUACCCGAUUCUGCGCAUAGGUAUUCAGCGCGCUGAAAAAAAGUUUAUGAGUGAUUUUUCCAUGCACAAGUUUUUCAGCACAGUGACGUCAUAACAUGAAAGAUUUACUUUUGGCUUAAAAUUCAGUCCGACAACGUAAAAUUUUGUAUAGUAAUCCGCUUUGAAAAACACGGAAAUGCACACAAUAAAAUAUGCACAGAAUCGCAUUAAUGGAAAGUGGGAAUAAUAAUACAAACAGUGACAAGUCUUUUUAUGGUUGUACAUCACCAUUUAUGUUUGCUAACCUUUAAAAGUCGUCCCCCUCCCCCAUCAUUACAUAAUUAAAAUUGCAAGAUUUGCAAGACAUUUUUUUCAAAUGCAUUAUAUGAUGAAAUUAAUAACAACUUUUAACAACAAUGCACCUACAUAAACAAAAUUGGAUCCUAUUUUAUUUCUCACUUUGUUACUCAUUUGUGAGUGGGAGUAUAAUACUAUAAGCCUUUUAACUGUGAUACAAUUUUUGCUAACAAAGGUUGUUUCUGAGGGUUUUCUUUAUCAUGGAUAUAAAUUGGAUAUUAAUGUAUUUUUAAUGUAUCUUUCUUUAUGGUAGGUACUUUUCACAUACCACUAAUAUUAUAUUUUCACACUAGAUUAAUAAUUUUCUUUUUAAUACAUGUAUAUGUGGGGGUUUGGCAUGUCAACAACACUGUUACACAAGUAGGGGAGACCGGGGCACAGUGGGACACUGGGUACAGUGGGACAUUGCUAAUUUAUUUAAUUUAUAUUAACCAAUCAAAUAUCUUGUUACAUAGUAGUAUGCAGCAUCACAUGUGUAAGCUUCCAUUGCAGAAUUUACCGAGUUCUGCUCAACAUAUGAACUUUUGUACAAACAUCAACGUUUUGACAGCAUUUUACAAUGGUCCGAAACAGGCAGAGAAAGACUAACAUUGGAAUGGUGGAUGAGAAAACAAUGGCAAUGGCGGUGAAUGCUGUUUCUAAUAGGAGUUCCAUAUGACAAACUGCCUCAAAAUACAAUAUUGCUAGACAAACAUUAUGUCGAUACGUUUCAAGAACAAAGGCAGCCAUAGCUAACCAUGAACUUCCACGUUUUACACCAAACUACAGUGUAAGAAAGAUAUUCACAGAUGAAGAAGAGAACAUGCUUGUAACUUACUUACUGACAAGCUGUCAAAUGUACUGUGGCCUGUCACCAAAAGAAGUGAGAAUUUUAGCUUUUCAAUUUGGUGAAAAAAAUCAGUCACCCAAGCAGCAGAGAUAGUCAACCCUUCUACAAGUGAAGCUACCCCAGCCACCCAAGCUACAGAGAUAGUCAACCCUUCUACAAGUGAAGCUACCCCAGCCACCCAAGCUACAGACAGUUAAUUCCCCAAACAUUAAACCUACCCAAACCAAAAAGACAUAUGUAACUAACUCAAUGUAUGUGUUCACCCCACUAAAGCAAAGCAUAGCAGCUAAUAAAACGAGCAAGUUAGUGAGUCCUGAAGAAAUACGACCAUAUCCUAAAGCUGGAGUGAGGAAAGGAAAAGUAGUAAAUAGGAAGCGAGGACGUACUAGAAUUGUUACAGAUACACCAGAAAAAGAGGAAUUAAUGAAAGAACAAGAGAAACAGCUUGCAAAAAAAUCAUUAAAACUGGAGAGUAAAAAGAGAAAGGUGAAACAGCUUUUUUCUCCUGCCAAGAGAAGAGUUCCUGAGAAAUGUGAUCACAGUGGAUCUGAAUCCGACGCCGAAUCAGAUGUGGUUUAUUCUGAAAACAGCGAUGAAGCCAGUCUUAGUGAUCAACGACAUGAUUUAUCAGAUUCCAUAUCUGUAGGAGAUUAUGUUCUUGUAAAGUUUGCCACCAAACGAUCAGUAUUACAUUAUGUUGGUCUGAUAACAAAAGAUGAAGCUGGUGGUGAAUAUGAAGUGAAAUUCUUGAAAUCUAGUACAAAAAGUGGUAAACAGUUUAGAUGGUCUGAACCUGAAGAUGUUUCAUUGGUGAACUCUGAAGACAUAGUAAAGAAAUUGCCCCCACCCUUCACUGUUGGUGGAACGGCAAGAGCCAAGAAACUUUUAAUGUUCUCCACUGAUCUUACCUCGUAUCAUCCACUGUAAGGUAUCCAUGGUCAAGGCACAAGUCUUAAACAAUCAACCCUUAACUCCCCCAAAACAGAACACGAAAUAUAAAACCUCUGAAAACCCACAGCAAAAAACCCUCAAGAAAACUGAAAAUGUUCUGUCAGUUUGUGAGUAGCUUGUUCUUUUCUGGAAAAUGGAUGGUUAUAUUUUAAUAAACAUGUUUCAGUUCACUGAAUUAUUUAUUGUCUUUUAUACAUAAAAUUGUUCAAUCAUCUAACCGAAAUCCUGAUCUAGACUAAGCCAUGUUGCAUAUUUCAAAUUACAUUCUGAUGGUGAAAUAAGCUAACAAGAUCUUCUGAAGCUUAUAAUAAUAUAAAUGGUCAAAUGUCCCAGAGUACCCCGAUGCUUGUCUCAGUGUGCCCCACCCAGGGGUAGAGUGGGACGCAAAAAAUCACGUUGAAACUUAUUCAAGUUUCCAGAUUUCCAGAUAAAUAAUUCAUUUCUAAAAUAUGUUUGUCUAUUCAUUCACUUAAUGCAACCCUUCACACAUGACAACAAAUUAUUCUCACAAGUGAAAUUAUUUUGGAGAUAAAGCAAUUUUUGAAAAAAGUGUCCCACUGUGCCCCGGUCUCCCCUACAUGUAAUUGCCACUAUUGUAUUGUUAAAUGUUAUUAACAGUUAUUUAAUAAGUUAAAAUUUUAAAUUGGUAUAUAUGGCUGCCACAUCUGCAUGUACUGAAUUAAAAACUUAAAUUUCUCUUCUCUUCAAGUGAAUAAGUAUAACUUUUAACAUUGAUGUGGAGGUUUAAUCAAAGAAAUUUAAGAACGUUUGUCUUUAUUGUAUAACUAAAAAUCAGAACAAUAAAAAGUAUAUUUUGUUUUGUUGUUUAUUUACUUAAGAACAAUGUAUUAAAACUAAAUGAAUAUAAUUAUAUACUUUAAAUAAUAACAGAUGUAUAAAUUCAUUGGCCCGAAAACUUCUCCAAUUAUGACCAAUAUCAUACUAAUUUUCCCAAUCUCAUGAGCCAUGGGACCCUGGUGAAACAUCCUGGAUAAAUCCCUGCAUUUGUAAAAUAACUGCAAAUUAUUUAUUGUGUAAUUUGCCAAUCUCAAUUUCAACAUAGCAUCUUAUGUUUAAUUCAUAUAUCAUAUGCAACUAUAUUUGAUUUUAUGAUAAAGUGUUAAAUGUGUUCAAUUCUUGUUCAGUUCUUAUUGUUCUAGGGCUCAUCAUAGCAAACAUCUGUGAUAUUGUAAAAAAGUUGCUAUUUACAAAUUUAUUAUUUUCUUUUAAAUACAAUGUAUUUGAAUUUUGUUAUAUUUUUCUAAUUCAACAUGUACCAUAGUAAAAAUUGAGUCCUUACAUAAUAUGCUAACAAAAUAUUUUCACUUAAUGUGUAAUCGUUUUUAAGAUUUUAAUUUGUGUUUCAUUUUCUUCAAACAAAUAAUAAUUAAAGUUUAUGUAUGACCUGUUACAUUUUCAUUAUUGUUUCAUAUUAUUUUUCUAACCACAACAUUAACAGAACACAGAAAGUGACAAAACCCAAGUUUAAUGGCAAAACAGAUAUUUCUCACACAAUCUCAAGUGAACUUCACUAUACAUUUUCACACCAUCAUUAUUUUUGUUUAUGCAUACAUGCAUACAAGGGCUUUUUUGCCACGGGAUGGAUGAACAGUUACUUAUGGACCUGCAACCACCAUCCCAAGUUGUUCCCACAUGUGGUUUGAUGGUCCUGUAUGCAUCUAUAUGCAAGAUAUGGUCUGGACAAGGAUUUACUGUUAUGUGUAGUAGACUGAAAAGUAGGUCACAGUGACCUAAUAAUAGAAUGCGACACACCGCUAUCCCAAGUUGUUCCUACAUUUGAGGUUUGAUAGUCCUGUAUGCAUUUGUUUGCAAGAUAUGGUCUGGACAAGAAAAAGUUAACAGACUGACUUGUGGACGGACGGACGGACGGACGGACAUCGCCAUACCAUAAUACAACCCAUUAUAGAUGGGUGUAUAAAAAUUGUUGUCUGACUGCUGUGUACACAGACAACAAUCUAUUAUACAGGUACAUGUACCAGCAACACAUGUAAUUAUAUAAAAACUGAAAAUAGUAAUAAAAUAAUACAUGUAGUGCAAUUGUUUCAUUUUGAAAAGAAAACUAGUAAUAAUAUAAUAUAGUAAAUGCACAAUAUGUGAAUUUGCCAUUCAUGGUAAAAUACAACAAACAUGCAUGUUAUUGUAUUGCAAGAGUAAAAAGUAAUGAUAAGUAUGUAUUGUAUGGUUUUACCCCUAUAUGAUUGUUACAGUUAUUGAAGUAGACAACAUAUGUAAACAAAUGGAAAGCAUCAAAGAGUGAUUUUGUUUUUGUAUAUAUUUUUAAAGUUACAGUGUCUGGUUGCCAUAUAAUAAUAUGCACAAAUAUGAAAUACAAGCUCAAAUGCA
rnacentral:misc_RNA from 1 species